CAUGUGCACACCCGAGCCAUCCCCAACAAACACCGUGGGCCUUCGGGCCCGCGUAUAUUUACUCUGAAUGUGUAUAGAAUGUAAACCAUUUGUUUGCCCUGAAAAAGCAAACGGAAAAAAGUACAACUUUCAACAACGGAUCUCUUGGCUCUCGCAUCGAUGAAGAACGCAGCGAAAUGCGAUAAGUAAUGUGAAUUGCAGAUUUUCAGUGAAUCAUCGAAUCUUUGAACGCACCUUGCGCCCCUUGGUAUUCCGAGGGGCAUGCCUGUUUGAGUGUCAUUAAAUCCUCAACCGCGCCGAUUGAUUUCGGUGGGGCUUGGACUUUGGAGCGUGCUGGCGAAGGUCGGCUCCUCUUUAAAUGCAUCAGCGGAAGAAACCUUUGUCUUUCCUGCCUUCGGUGUGAUAAUCGUGUUGCGCCGUGGUGGAACUUCAACGAUCCGCUUACAAUGGUCUUCGGACAAAACCUCAUGUCAUCUU
rnacentral:rRNA from 1 species